UACAGAGGGUGCAAGCGUUGUUCGGAAUUACUGGGCGUAAAGCGCGUGUAGGCGGUUUCGUAAGUCGGUCGUGAAAUCCCUAGGCUUAACCUAGGAACUGCGAUCGAAACUGUGAGACUAGAGUGUCGGAGGGGAUGGCGGAAUUCCCGGUGUAGAGGUGAAAUUCGUAGAUAUCGGGAGGAACACCUGUGGCGAAGGCGGCCAUCUGGAAGACAACUGACGCUGAGACGCGAAAGCGUGGGGAGCAAACAGG
rnacentral:rRNA from 1 species